rnacentral:lncRNA from 1 species
CCUAUGCCUACUAAAAACCACCCUCCGCCGGCAAGGUUUGAAAUCCUAUGUCCGAGGUCGAUUUCUCAAAGUAUCGAAAUGUUCCGAAGCUAGAAGUUGAUGAUUAUCCUUUUUUUUUUCAGUGAGAAGUCAAUUCCGCUAAGCUUUAGCCAGGGCUAACCCUCUUUCUAAAGCAGAAGAGGAAUAAAUAGGAGCAUUACUGCUGCUACGAGCUAGAAGGCGUUGGUGUCCGCUAUC